CAAGCUGGCUGGAUAGUCGCUGCUGCUUUGAAAAAAGCGGGAGAGGAAAGUCCGGGCUCCAUAGGACACGGUGGUGGGUAACUCCCACCGUCCGAAGUAACAUGCUUCAUUGUGUGUUGCGUAAGGGUAGGGAAAGUGCAACAGAAAGAUACCGCCCCAAAAGGGUAAGGGUGAAAUGGCGGGGGAAUGCAAAUUC
rnacentral:RNase_P_RNA from 1 species